CUACGGGGGGCUGCAGUGGGGAAUAUUGCACAAUGGGCGCAAGCCUGAUGCAGCCAUGCCGCGUGUGUGAAGAAGGCCUUCGGGUUGUAAAGCACUUUCAGCGGGGAGGAAGGCGUUAAGGUUAAUAACCUUGGCGAUUGACGUUACCCGCAGAAGAAGCACCGGCUAACUCCGUGCCAGCAGCCGCGGUAAUACGGAGGGUGGCAAGCGUUAAUCGGAAUUACUGGGCGUAAAGCGCACGCAGGCGGUCUGUCAAGUCGGAUGUGAAAUCCCCGGGCUCAACCUGGGAACUGCAUUCGAAACUGGCAGGCUAGAGUCUUGUAGAGGGGGGUAGAAUUCCAGGUGUAGCGGUGAAAUGCGUAGAGAUCUGGAGGAAUACCGGUGGCGAAGGCGGCCCCCUGGACAAAGACUGACGCUCAGGUGCGAAAGCGUGGGGAGCAAACAGGAUUAGAUACCCGUGUAGUC
rnacentral:rRNA from 1 species